CUACACAUAUAUAAGCAAAUCACCUCGAUCCCUACCUUUCAAGUUUCAAUUUCACAAAUCAAGUGUUUAUUCUCAUUCAGAAAUCAAAGUAUACACACUUCACCCCAUCUGCUUCAAAAAGAAUCAAGAUAUGCAUCCCAACCACUUCACCUGUUGAUCCAAAACAAAGCACCAAUGUGUAGAAGAAAGGCAUGGGAUGGAGGUGGUGGUGGAGUGUGAUGGAAGAAGUGGUGGAGGAGAGUGGCGGAGCAGGACGACUUCUUCUACAGUUUGUCUACAGGAGUGUGAAGGAGGUGGUGAUUGAGAGUGGCAGAGAAGGGUGUCUGCUUUUGCGAUUUGCCUGGAGUGUGAUGGAAGUCAUGAUGAGGAGAACAGCGGGAGAAGCGGUGGUUUGCAACUAGUCCAAAGAUUAGGAGCAAAUAAUUAUGAUACUUGUCACAAUAUUAUUAUAAUUUUGUGGAAUUUGGAAGUGUAGAUUGAGC
rnacentral:lncRNA from 1 species